GUGACGUCACCAAGCGGGGCGGGGCUCAGCGCCGCUUCCCAGCUGUGUGCGUGGGACGUCACGGCUUGGAGGCGGGGUCGCGCGCGUGUCGCUGUUCUCAGUGCUGAUUCCGGUCGCCGCGAGGAACUAGCGCAGCGAGGUAGGGCGCGUGCGGCUCCCGGUGCCUUGCGCCGUCCCUCUUCCGUACGCUCGCUUCGCGAACAGUCAGCAACAAACAGCGACUAAUUACUGAAAAACUUGCGUCCGUGUUCGUCUUAUGAAACACCCGAAAGUACGAGCGCGUGGGAAACACGGGUGCUUGUCUGGCAGCGGGAGACGUACUCUGCUUUUGCCUCUCUGGACCAAAGUUUGUAUGGAGAGCAGAGGUCAAGGACCAGAGUGGAGGAGGGGCCACCUUAUUGGGGUUUCUGCAGAACCCCAUCCUCCCACCCUUGGCCCAGGGGGUGCAGUGGAC